GAGUGGCGCAAGGGUGAGUAAUGCAUAGAUUACCUGCCUCCGGGAUAAGGACAACUUUGUGAAAACGGAGCUAAUACUUAAUAAUACAAAAGAGAAUAAUUUUCUUUUGUCAAUGGGAGGGUAGCAAUACCUUUUGCCUGGAGAGGGGUUUAUGUCCUAUCAGCUUGUUGGUGGGGUAAUGGCCUACCAAGGCGAAGACGGGUAGCCGGACUUAGUGGUUGUUCGGCCACACUGGGACUGAGNCACUGCCCAGACUUCUACGGAAGGCUGCANUCGAGAAUCUUUCGCANUGCCCGAAAGGGUGACGAANCGACGCCGCGUGGGUGAGGAAGGCCUUCGGGUUGUAAAGCCCUGUCAGGAGUUAAGAAAUGUAAGUGCGCUAAUAUCGCAUUUAUUUGACGAAGGCUCCAAAGGAAGUCACGGCUAACUCUGUGCCAGCAGCCGCGGUAAUACAGAGGUGGCAAGCGUUGUUCGGAAUUAUUGGGCGUAAAGAGCACGUAGGUGGGUUUGUAAGUCAGAUGUGAAAGCCUUCUGUUCAACGGAAGAAUUGCAUCUGAAACUGCGAGUCUUGAGUGUAGGAGGGGAGAAUGGAAACUUCUGGUGGAGCGGUGAAAAUGCGUAGAUAUCAGAAGGAACGCCGGCGGCGAAAGCGAUUCUCUGGCCUAUUACUGACACUCAGUGUGCGAAAGCUAGGGGAGCAAACGGGAUUAGAUACCCCGGUAGUCCUAGCCGUAAACGAYGGGCACUAAGUAGAGGGGAUUACCGAUAUUCUCUCUGCCGUAGCUAACGCAUAAAGUGCCCCGCCUGGGGAGUACGGCCGCAAGGCUAAAACUCAAAAAGAAUUGACGGGGGCUCGCACAAGCGGUGGAGCAUGUGGCUUAAUUCGAUGCAACGCGAAAAACCUUACCGGGGCCUGACAUGGUAGAAGUAGGAACCCGAAAGGGUAACGAACGGUAUCCAGUCCGUAGCUAUUACAGGUGUUGCAUGGCUGUCGUCAGCUCGUGUCGUGAGACGUUGGGUUAAGUCCCCUAACGAGCGAAACCCUUGUUUUUAGUUGCCAUCGGGUUGCGCCGGGAACUCUAGAAAGACUGCCGUCGUCAAGACGGAGGAAGGUGGGGACGACGUCAAGUCAUCAUGGCCCUUAUGCCCCGGGCUGCACACGUGCUACAAUGGUCGGUACAAACGGAAGCGAAGCCGAGAGGUGAAGCGAAUCCUAAAAAGCCGAUCUCAGUUCGGAUUGGAGGCUGAAAUUCGCCUCCAUGAAGUUGGAAUCGCUAGUAAUCGCGGAUCAGCAGUGCCGCGGUGAAUAUGUUCCCGAGCCUUGUACACACCGCCCGUCAAGCCACCCAAGCAGGAUGCACCCGAAAACAUUAUAUCUAACCAGGGCAACUUGGGGGAAAAUGUUGAAGGAGUGUUUUGUGAGGAGGACUAAGUCGUAACAAGGUAGUCGUAGGAGAACCUGCGGCUGGAUCACCUCCUUUCU
rnacentral:rRNA from 1 species